CAGAGCAUAGCUAAGACAGAAUAGCACCUCCCUUACACUGAGAAGACAUCCGUGCAAUUCGGAUUGCCCUGACUAG
rnacentral:tRNA from 1 species